rnacentral:lncRNA from 1 species
AUGACUGAUGAGCACCAAGACUGGCAGGAGGGAGACCUGGCCUGGUCCUGGCAGGAGGGAGGGGCAGGAGGGAGGGGGCAGGGGGCAAGGGAAGGGACUCAGUCUCCUGUUCCUGCCCAGGCUAUCCCUCUCAGCCUCAGAGGCCGGUGGCCGAGGCCCAGCCAGCCAGCCAGUCUUGCCAUGACCUCUGAUGUCAUUCUAGGCGUCCUCUUCUCAGCCUCCACUGUUCUGAGAUGCUGGCCUCUGAAUGAACGGAUGCUCAGGAGGGCUGGCCCCUGGAGACAGGAAGAUGCCCCUGCCACCGGCUCUGUGGACCAGG